rnacentral:lncRNA from 1 species
AACUGCUUGGGACCCACUUGUUAUUUCUUUGCCUAAUUUGAUUCCAUGCGGAUGUGGCACUAAAUUUGCCAUUGUCAUGAGGCCAAAUAAGUAUAUCUGAAGAGUUGUUCCUGAUUGGAAUAACUAUAAUAGUCGGCCAAAGUGAUAACAUUUCGGGAGAAAUAGGAUUAGGGAGACACCAAGUACCGUUAGCAAUGAACUCGGAAACCUUCCAAUCUUUGGGAGCCCCAAGAUCUUUUCGUAUUCUGUCGCCAUAUAAUUGAAAUAUACUCUUCCAUUCAUCCAAGGAUCGUACCACAUAUUAGUACUAGUUCCAGAAGAGAUUGCAUAAGAAAUGUGUUUGAUUAGCCAAUUCCUUGCCUUUAAAAUUCCUUUCCAAGCUGCAGAGUGGUAUGUUCUUGUUGAAAUUU